rnacentral:sRNA from 1 species
UCGACCUGCAAAAAGUGUAAAUUUUGUGUAAUUUUGUGUCCCGAAUGUGGGAAAACCCCUUUUGUGGCCCGAUUCCCACCACCUGCCUGUGCCACCGGCCAUCCCAUCUCUUUAUCAGCAUUCAACCAGCCAGCAUCGUCCUCGCCGGUCGAACAAAACCAGAAAACCGCGGCGAGCUUUUCAUUUCAAUUUGCUGCCAAAAAUGCCCACAGAUGUGGCAGUCGCGGAGGCGGAGGCGGAGGAGGGGCCAGGCAGCCGUUUGGUCGCUCGUUGGCCAAUUUAGUUUUAACGUUGCAGAUGCGGCUGGUGCUGGGUCUGGUGCUCCUUCUGUUAUCAUUCAAUUGGCGCCGCCCUCUGCUGCAAUUUUGAAUGCCAAGUGCAGGCAGUGGAGGUGGGAGCGUGAGGCGGCGGCACGUGAUCGUGGUCGAUAGGGAUUGAGGGACCACGGAGCGCUGGGAGUUAUCGGCCCUGCCAUCCCUCUGGGAGUAUGAUUCCCCGCCUGUGAUCUCUUCAAAAUCCGAUCGCUAGCGAUAGCUGGAAAUACCCAAAGCUGAUGCUGAAAUCAAUCUGGUCCGAAAAGAAGGAAGGAAGGAAUUCCCUAAGGAAAACAAAGGCAAAGGCUUAUAGGAAGGAUAGAAGGACACUCCAUAUCUUUCUGUGAGACUUCGGUUUCCCCCUGUAAUUGCUGCCAUCUCUAUGCCCUUCGAGUGCAUUCGAGUUCCGGAUUCCGUCAUGGGUUUAAUUGGGCGAGUGCAAUCCUCCCUACUUUCGAGACAGCCACUUGGCUUGGCCUUUGGGCUCCCCCUCACCAAAUUAGCUUGACUAACCCCUGGACAAGCAGAUGUUGACUCCCUCCCCCUCCCCUGGGACAUAUUGUCACCUCAAACACAGCAGACGAGGGCGAUGGCGAUGGCGAUGGCUGUUGACAACGACAACAGCCCGUUGGGCAUUCGUUCCGUUCCGUUCUGUCCGGGCGUCAAGUGCAUGACUAUCUGAUUGCAUUCUGUGUGAAUAGUGGAUGGAAAAGCGUUUAAAAACAUUAAACUGCGUCCGGUUACGUGCCUGGAAUUUCGAGAUCCAACAGAAAGGACCAGAAGGAGGGGUAUCCUAUCAGCUGAAUGGCCUAAUCCUAACAAAGGAGGAGGAAGAGGAGUAGGCCACAUCGCUUAUGAGUCAGCGUUUUAAAUUGCUUUCGUUGGAGCCCUGCUCCACGCCGCGAGCCAUUUCCCAUGUUGCUCAAAAGUCUGGAAAGUAAUUCUAUUAAAAACAACAAAAAUAAUGCAAGAAAAUAACUACGCUCCCGACUAAAAGAACUAACUACAUCAGCGGCCACGACGAUGGGGGGCAGUGAGGAGGGGAGAGUAGGGGCCCGGAACGUGAGCUCGAUAACAUUUUAGCUGGAUAAACAAAUUUCUUUGGCGAGCAGAACCAAGAACCGGCAACCGGAAACCGGUAUGGAAAUAUGUGAUAGGACUUCGGCUUCGAGUACAACAUGCACCACGGGACGUAUGAUUAAUGCAAUGUCUGCCGCACUGACUGGCCGUCAAGUCAGUGUCGAGAGGACAACAAUGAAUUAAUUAAUGAAGUGCACACUACCAGGCAACCAACAGCAGUCCCAGAGCAAUGUAUUUACAUAUGUAUAUCCCCAGUAACUAUAGUUUUUAUGGUCUUUCUUCAGGCUGUCAAGAUUUCUGUGCCUCUUGAUGGAUGGUGGCUGCAGCCACAACAGGUGUCUGCCUCUGCUAUCAUUGCCGAACAGGAUACAGCCAUCAAGGAUACAGGUUUGAUAGGUUUUCCUACAACCCGGAGGUGUAUCUUGGCAAUCAUUUGGCACUAAUGACAUUGCUGUGAUGGCUAUAUCGUACGAAUGGAUGCUUUGUUUAAGAAACAAUUAUCGAAGAAGACAGAGCGUGAUAAUUGGAACCCAACAUAAGGAAGGAACGACGAACUUGUAGGCAUCACCUCACCUUGUCAUACCUUCUCAUAAGUCCUUGACGUUUCCAUCUAAAGCGCAGUGUUGUGUCCAUCGAUUUGGCUGA